UUAUUGUACUUGUUUGUUGAUAUUUUUUGGCUAUGUUUAUAUGCAUUUCACUAAUUUUAUCUGAUAUGCACAUGCAUGUCUAGAAAUAGAUUCUGCAGUGUAUGAUUUUGGUUACUAUAUCUUUAUUUUAUUUUUUUAAUUUUCUCCUUUGUACAAACUAAUUAUUGUGAAAUUAAUCCGGCUUAGAGAAAUACUGAAGUAUCAAAUUUCUGAUUUUUUUGGCCAAACUCAACCCACACAAGGUUUGUCUCGAUCUCCGAUUGAUCAUAUGCCUCUUUUCUUUGAUGUUCUUUUAAGUGUAAUUAUUAAUAAUUUAUCAUAUGUGUUUGAUGAUAUGCCUGAAUCAUUUUAUUGUAGUUGGGUGCAUUUGGAUAUUUGCUUCUUAUAUCAACUGAUUAUCUGCAAUAAUACACUACAGUUGCAAGGAAUGUAUUAGUAGUGUUCAAAUUGACGAUAGGAAAUGCUAUUAUACAUAUCAGGUAGUUCAUUUAGUGUUAUUAUAUUAAUCUUUUUGUAACCAUAGGUUGAAUAUUGUUUUAUCUGAUUGUGUAUUACCAAUAUUGACUUUUUCAUGAUGGAUAAAUAGUGGCAGCUGAUGAAAAUGCAUAUAAUCUCACAUGUCUUCUACCUGUAGAUAUGUUAAAGGAGAAUGUUUCUACUUUCGAAAGAAAACAAAUCAGAUGCUAUUGAUCUUACUUUUCUGGUUAUUAGCAUUAUUCAUCUUGUUGGAGGCAAAAUAACCGAAGGUACGCUUGAGUUGUACUUAAACAUAUCUUUUCCUUCCUAUUUUUUCGAUGUCCUUUACUUCCUAAUAUAUCUAAGAGAGCAAUUAAACUUGAAAUUGUUGCCAUCAAUAUGUUGAAUUUUUUUUUUUGGCAUCAUUUGAGACGGCUAGGAGUGUUUGGAACUGAUGAGCCUCUUGUAAAGAAAAUCUUUUGCAUCAUUUGAGACAACUGUGAUUGUCUGAAACUGACGAAAGCCAUAUGUUCAUGGAAAUCUCAAAUUCGCGUUGAAAGCACACCUUCAACAAAGGCUGAGCUUUUAGGAUGGGGAACCCUUUGGUUUUUCCUUGCCUUUGAUUCUGAAGCCCAUAUGGCGAAGAAACGUUAUUGUUUGCGGGGAACCUUAUGGUUGCGCCUGGAGCAUGUCUUGGGGUUCUGCAGUACAUGCAUUGUGAUAUAAGCAAUAUGUUUUCUUGAGUACCGGCGCCCUUAUCACACUGUUUGAUGGUACAUCGAGGCAAACAGAAGAAUCCAGUUAAGUCCUCGUGCUCAAAGGCAAAGUGAUUCACUCAUAUGGCAACAUAUUGCAUUCUUACCUCUACGGUGGAGAGGAACAGAUAAAAGGAAUCCACUGUAGCUCCUAUUCUUCUUGGACAAUCAAGGAAUGUUGGAGAUUUGGACUCUAAUGAAGAAAUCCAACUCAUAAAAUAGUGUACCGACUCACAAGGCAAGAAGGGGCGCAACAAACAAAAAGUGCGGUCCGCAGAAGUAUUUUUGCGGCCGCGACUUGAUGAAGAAGCCCAGAGGUGAUUGAAGAAGAAGUGCGGACCGUACACAAUUUGUGUGGCCGCAGAACAUGGUCGGACUGAUAAAAAUUCAAAAAGUUCAGAGAGUGCAAAUUGACCAAGACUGAAGCCUUGCCAGAAGAGCGGACCGCACAUGAAUUGUGCGGUCGCAAAAGCUGAAGUGCAGCCGCAGAUCAAAUUAUGCGGCUGCAGAAUCUAUCAACCUGCAGACUCAAGCAAUAUGCGGCCGCAGAAUCUCCCGAAGGGCAUUUUUGUUAGUGAAUUUUGGGCCACUAUAAAUAGACGGGAAUCACUUUUUAGGUCAAUUUUUGAAGUUUUCUCAGCUAGCCGUUGUAAUUUACCAUUUUAGGAAAUUUAUGAUCAUUUUGGGAUAAAAACAUCAUAGUUUAUCA